rnacentral:rRNA from 1 species
UGGGGAAUUUUGGACAAUGGGGGAAACCCUGAUCCAGCCAUCCCGCGUGUGCGAUGAAGGCAUUCGGGUUGUAAAGCACUUUUGGCAGGAAAGAAACGUCAUGGGUUAAUACCCCGUGAAACUGACGGUACCUGCAGAAUAAGCACCGGCGAACUACGUGCCAGCAGCCGCGGUAAUACGUAGGGUGCAAGCGUUAAUCGGAAUUACUGGGCGUAAAGCGUGCGCAGGCGGUUCGGAAAGAAAGAUGUGAAAUCCCAGAGCUCAACUUUGGAACUGCAUUUUUAACUACCGGGCUAGAGUGUGUCAGGGGGGGGUGGAAUUCCGCGUGUAGCAGUGAAAUGCGUAGAUAUGCGGAGGAACACCGAUGGCGAAGGCAGCCUCCUGGGAUAACACUGCCGCUCAUGCACGAAAGCGUGGGGAGCAAACAGG